rnacentral:rRNA from 1 species
UACGUAGGGUGCAAGCGUUUGUCCGGAAUUAUUGGGCGUAAAGAGCUCGUAGGCGGUUCGUCGCGUCGGCUGUGAAAUCCCGGAGCUCAACUCCGGGUCUGCAGUCGAUACGGGCGGACUUGAGUACUGCAGGGGAGACUGGAAUUCCUGGUGUAGCGGUGGAAUGCGCAGAUAUCAGGAGGAACACCGAUGGCGAAGGCAGGUCUCUGGGCUGUAACUGACGCUGAGGAGCGAAAGCAUGGGGAGCGAACAGG